UACGUAGGGUGCAAGCGUUAAUCGGAAUUACUGGGCGUAAAGCGUGCGCAGGCGGUUAUGUAAGACCGAUGUGAAAUCCCCGGGCUCAACCUGGGAACUGCAUUUGUGACUGCAUAGCUUGAGUGCGGCAGAGGGGGAUGGAAUUCCGCGUGUAGCAGUGAAAUGCGUAGAUAUGCGGAGGAACACCGAUGGCGAAGGCAAUCCCCUGGGCCUGCACUGACGCUCAUGCACGAAAGCGUGGGGAGCAAAAGGG
rnacentral:rRNA from 1 species